ACCCGGCUGGCUCAAUGGUAGAGCAUCAGACUUCUACACUUUACUUAUUUGUAAGGUCCGUUUAAAGAGAGGUAGCGGACUUUUACACCUGUUAUUUGUGAAGUCCAUCUGAAGGUUGUGGGUUCGAGUCCCACGUUGGGUG